GCCGGGAAAGUCAGCGUGCGCGUGGGGUGAAAUGCCAAGUUACCGUUAGAGUGAACGGCAUCACUUCGAAGUCUCACAAUUUUCAUUAUAAAAUCUUCCAUGACAGGAAAAGCUAUAGCAUUUUUCAAAUUCAAUGAGCAAGAUUGGGAAGGAGACAUCACUCAACUAAAACUCCACCAACAGACCUCGCGCUUCACUGUGAGACACCCUUGGAGCCAUUGAUGGGCUAAAGCAGUUGAUAACACACUGUUUUCAAGGGGUCAUAAAAAUCCAAUGGAAACAACUUAUCUUUCCUUCUCAACAUUUCAGCUAUAGAAAUGUCUUCAGGUCUAGGUCCAGGACAGUUUUUUUCCAACAGCUAUCUAGCCAUGCUGGUAGAAGUCCUAGCAAUUUGUACUGGCACCUGGUCCUUCUUCGCCACCAUAUACAACAGCUCAACACACCCUGGACCUCAGAGACCCUCAUUCCUCAAUAGGAAGAUGCCCAGAAGAUGUACAGCUUGCCCAGACUCUUAUGAUGGGAACCUGAGGCAGUGACCAAGGGAAAGUUUCCAGAAUGAGCCUCCUCAAUCAGUUUUGAAAACAUAAUUUUCAUUUGCCUGCAUAGUACUUAAUUAUUUUGGAUAAAUAAAGGCCUCAAAAAUGUAAAUAUGAAGUGAAAUUCAUAUUCACUGUUCCAGAA
rnacentral:lncRNA from 1 species